rnacentral:lncRNA from 1 species
AUGCCAACGAUUAGGAUUUUGGUAAGAACCGCCAGAAGACUCAUAAUCUUAAUCGGCUUGAAGCGCCGCGUAACGAGCUCAAUUCUCGAGUUGUAGUUCUCAAUGCUGGUGAUAACAACGAGCAUUUCCAGUAACUCAUCGUAAUUACCUUCCUGUUGCUGGAGGUGUUAGCAGCCACACAUGCUAUUGCAGUGUAUCAGCCCUUGAACUUACUGUUUCAGAGAGUUCCUCCACCUCUAUAAAGAAGAGAAUUGUGUCGGGUGUCCAACCAACAGGAUCUAUACACCCUGGGAAUUAUCUUGGAGCGAUAAAAAAUUGGAUAUCACUGCAGUGAAAUUUUGAUGGGAGUCAAUCCAUGGUGGCCGGAGAACUCACCCAGGUUUCAGAAAAAGAGAACUCGUGUCUUUAUAGACAUCCAAAUGAAAGCUAUGAAGUCACUCUUCUAGCAAAAGAAGUUCCUUUU